rnacentral:rRNA from 1 species
AACGGUGGCUAUAGGGCGGGUGAACACCUCUUCCCAUUCCGAACAGAGUCGUUAAGCCCCGCACCGCCAAUGGUACUGCAUGAGUGAUUGUGUGGGAGAGUAGGUAGCUGCCGGUC